UUCUUUGCAUAGCAUGAUUUAAUUUUUCAACAAAUUAUCAGAAAUACAUUACGGUACAAUAUUAUAAUUGUAAAUGACUUCACAAUUAAAUAAAAUGCAGUAACCAAUUAUUUGAAGCAAAUUGUCAUUACUCACAUGUGUGUAAGAGUGCUCUUGAGUGUUCGUAGAUUUUGUUCUUAGCAAAUCCAAGAUAAGAAAACAUUAGUGAAUGUCAGACUCUACGUAAAAAGUGCGUAAGAAGGUGUGACAAA